UGAGGAAUAUUGGGCAAUGCCCGCAAGGGUGACCCAGCAACGCCGCGUGGAGGAUGAAUGUCGUAAGAUUGUAAACUCCUGUUAGAGGGGAAGAAUAGUACCGGUUGGACCGGUAUAUGACUGUACCCUCAGAGAAAGCCCCGGCUAACUACGUGCCAGCAGCCGCGGUAAUACGUAGGGGGCAAGCGUUGUCCGGAUUUACUGGGUGUAAAGGGCGCGCAGGCGGGAUAAAAAGUCAGUGGUGAAAUCCUACAGCUUAACUGUAGAACUGCCUUUGAUACUGUUAUUCUUGAGUUCGGGAGAGGGAGACGGAAUUCCAGGUGUAGUGGUGAAAUACGUAGAUAUCUGGAAGAACACCAGUGGCGAAGGCGGUCUCUUGGUCCGACACUGACGCUGAGGCGCGAAAGCGUGGGGAGCAAACA
rnacentral:rRNA from 1 species